AUGCCCUCGUUCCGCACUUCGUGUGGACAGGCAGCGCCCUUUACCUUCGAAGUCUCGAAAAAUGGUCUGGGUGAUGUGGGUGCCUCAAUGCUUGAUGCCAUGUUCUGUAAGAGGCCAAGGUUAAUGUAUGACUAUCACGUUCCCCACCAAGUAAAAUGUGCUAUUUCACCACAAACACUGACGAAGUUAAGCUCAGUGCAGGGCGAAAAAUUUAUCAAAGUUGCUGAGGUUCAGGGGUCUGAAAUUAAGCCAUUUGUGGAUAGUUUAUCUAAAUGCCCAAAACCCACUUAG
rnacentral:rRNA from 1 species